rnacentral:rRNA from 1 species
GAUGAACGCUAGCUACAGGCUUAACACAUGCAAGUCGAGGGGCAGCGGGAUUGAAGCUCGCUUCAAUCGCCGGCGACCGGCGCACGGGUGAGUAACGCGUAUCCAACCUUCCGCUUACUCGGGGAUAGCCUUUCGAAAGAAAGAUUAAUACCCGAUGGUAUGAUGAGAUUGCAUGAUAGCAUCAUUAAAGAUUUAUUGGUAAGCGAUGGGGAUGCGUUCCAUUAGGUAGUAGGCGGGGUAACGGCCCACCUAGCCGACGAUGGAUAGGGGUUCUGAGAGGAAGGUCCCCCACAUUGGAACUGAGACACGGCCCAGACUCCUACGGGAGGCAGCAGUCGGGAAUAUUGCGCAAUGGAGGAAACUCUGACGCAGUGACGCCGCGUGCAGGAAGAAGGUUUUCGGAUUGUAAACUGCUUUAGACAGGGACGAAAUAAAUGACGGUACCUGUAGAAUAAGCUCCGGCUAACUACGUGCCAGCAGCCGCGGUAAUACGUAGGGAGCAAGCGUUAUCCGGAUUUAUUGGGUGUAAAGGGUGCGUAGACGGAAAGACAAGUUAGUUGUGAAAUACCUCGGCUUAACUGAGGAACUGCAACUAAAACUAUCUAUCUUGAGUACUGGAGGGGAAAGCGGAAUUCCUAGUGUAGCGGUGAAAUGCGUAGAUAUUAGGAAGAACACCGGUGGCGAAGGCGGCUUUCUGGACAGUAACUGACGUUGAGGCACGAAAGUGUGGGGAGCAAACAGGAUUAGAUACCCUGGUAGUCCACACCGUAAACGAUGGAUACUAGGUGUAGGUGAUGAUAAGUCAUCUGUGCCGUCGCAAACGCAGUAAGUAUCCCACCUGGGGAGUACGGCCGCAAGGUUGAAACUCAAAGGAAUUGACGGGGGCCCGCACAAGCAGUGGAGUAUGUGGUUUAAUUCGACGCAACGCGAAGAACCUUACCAAGGCUUGACAUAUAGAUGAAUUAGUAAGAGAUUAUUAAGUCCUUCGGGACAUCUAUACAGGUGGUGCAUGGUUGUCGUCAGCUCGUGUCGUGAGAUGUUAGGUUAAGUCCUGCAACGAGCGCAACCCCUGUUUCUAGUUGCCAGCAUGUAAAGAUGGGAACUCUAGAAAGACUGCCGGUAAUAAAUCGGAGGAAGGUGGGGAUGACGUCAAAUCAUCAUGCCCUUUAUGUCUUGGGCUACACACGUACUACAAUGGCUGCGACAGAGAGAAGCGACAUAGUGAUAUGAAGCAAAACUCUAAAAACAGUCUCAGUUCGGAUUGAAGGCUGAAAUUCGCCUUCAUGAAGUCGGAAUUGCUAGUAAUGGCAGGUCAGCAUACUGCCGUGAAUACGUUCCCGGGCCU